AUGCACGCUGGCGGCGUGCCUAAUACCUGCAAGUCGCGCGAACGGACGAGAAGCUUGCUUCUCUGAUGUUAGCGGCGGACGGGUGAGUAACACGUGGAUAACCUACCUAUAAGACUGGGAUAACUUCGGGAAACCGGAGCUAAUACCGGAUGAUAUUUUGAACCGCAUGGUUCAAAAGUGAAAGACGGUCUUGCUGUCACUUAUAGAUGGAUCCGCGCUGCAUUAGCUAGUUGGUAAGGUAACGGCUUACCAAGGAAACGAUGCAUAGCCGACCUGAGAGGGUGAUCGGCCACACUGGAACUGAGACACGGUCCAGACUCCUACGGGAGGCAGCAGUAGGGAAUCUUCCGCAAUGGGCGAAAGCCUGACGGAGCAACGCCGCGUGAGUGAUGAAGGUCUUCGGAUCGUAAAACUCUGUUAUUAGGGAAGAACAUAUGUGUAAGUAACUGUGCACAUCUUGACGGUACCUAAUCAGAAAGCCACGGCUAACUACGUG
rnacentral:rRNA from 1 species